rnacentral:misc_RNA from 1 species
GAUGAAGAACGCAGCGAAAUGCGAUACGUAAUGUGAAUUGCAGAAUUCAGUGAAUCAUCGAAUCUUUGAACGCAUAUUGCGCUCUCUGGUAUUCCGGAGAGCAUGCUUGUUUGAGUAUCAGUAAACACCUCAACUUCCAUAUCUUUUUUUGAAAUGGGAGUUGGACUUGAGUGAUCCCAACGCUUUUCCUCACCGAAAAGUGGCGGGUUACUUGAAAUGCAGGUGCAGCUGGACUUUUCUCUGAGCUAUAAGCAUAUCUAUUUAGUCUGCCUAAAAAACAGAUUAUUACCUUUGCUGCAGCUAACAUAAAGGAGAUUAGUUCUUGUGCUGACUGAUGCAGGAUUCACAAAGACAGCUUCGGCCGACUUUGUAAACUCGAUCUCAAAUCAAGUAAGACUACCCGCUGAACUUAAGCAUAUCGAUAAGCGGAGGA